ACGGGUGAGUAACACGUGGGCAAUCUGCCCUUCAUCUGGGACAAGCCCUGGAAACGGGGUCUAAUACCGGAUACGAGUUUCACAGGCAUCUGUGAUUCUGGAAAGCUCCGGCGGUGAAGGAUGAGCCCGCGGCCUAUCAGCUUGUUGGUGAGGUAGUGGCUCACCAAGGCGACGACGGGUAGCCGGCCUGAGAGGGCGACCGGCCACACUGGGACUGAGACACGGCCCAGACUCCUACGGGAGGCAGCAGUGGGGAAUAUUGCACAAUGGGCGAAAGCCUGAUGCAGCGACGCCGCGUGAGGGAUGACGGCCUUCGGGUUGUAAACCUCUUUCAGCAGGGAAGAAGCGAAAGUGACGGUACCUGCAGAAGAAGCGCCGGCUAACUACGUGCCAGCAGCCGCGGUAAUACGUAGGGCGCAAGCGUUGUCCGGAAUUAUUGGGCGUAAAGAGCUCGUAGGCGGCUUGUCACGUCGAUUGUGAAAGCCCGAGGCUUAACCUCGGGUCUGCAGUCGAUACGGGCUAGCUAGAGUGUGGUA
rnacentral:rRNA from 1 species